rnacentral:rRNA from 1 species
AUUGAACGCUGGCGGCAGGCCUAACACAUGCAAGUCGAACGAGUGGCGGACGGGUGAGCAAUGUCUGGGAAACUGCCCGAUGGAGGGGGGUAACUACUGGAAACGGUAGCUACUACCGCACACCUUCGGAUGUGUCCAGAUGGGAUUAGCUAGUAGGUGGGGUAACGGCUCACCAAGGCGACGAUCCCUAGCUGGUCUGAGAGGAUGACCAGCCACACUGGAACUGAGACACGGUCCAGACUCCUACGGGAGGCAGCAGUGGGGAAUAUUGCACAAUGGGCGCAAGCCUGAUCCAGCCAUGCCGCGUGUGUGAAGAAGGCCUUCGGGUUGUAAAGUACUUUCAGCGAGGAGGCGUUACUCGCAGAAGAAGCACCGGCUAACUCCGUGCCAGCCGCCGCGGUAAUAC